AUUCUUUUUAAGGAGCCUGUCCUGUAAUUGACAAUCCACGAUAGGAGUUACUUAUUUUUGUUUUCAUUUUGUAUACCUCCGUCAUCAGAGUAUCCUUUUAGGGGAUAAUACUCUUAAUAUAAAAAAUAUUAUAUGUCAGGUCAAGGUGCAACUUAUAAAUAAGUAGAGAUGGGCUACAAUAAAUUUAUUUAGACGGAUUAUUAUUUUUAAUAGUGAUAUGAAGGUGGAUUUAAAAGUAAAACUAUUUUAUUUACUAAUUUGACUAUAGCUCUAAAAUAUGCACACAUCGCCCGUCGCUCUUAUUUUAAAAUAAGAUAAGUCGUAACAUAGUAGGAGUACCGGAAGGUGUUCCU
rnacentral:rRNA from 1 species